rnacentral:rRNA from 1 species
GAUGAACGCUGGCGGCGUGCCUAACACAUGCAAGUCGAGCGAUCUUCUUCGGAAGAGAGCGGCGGACGGGUGAGUAACGCGUGGGUAACCUGCCUCAUACACAUGGAUAACAUACCGAAAGGUACGCUAAUACAAGAUGAUAUAAGAGAUUCGCAUGGAUUUCUUAUCAAAGCUCCGGCGGUAUGAGAUGGACCCGCGUCUGAUUAGCUAGUUGGUAAGGUAACGGCUUACCAAGGCGACGAUCAGUAGCCGACCUGAGAGGGUGAUCGGCCACAUUGGAACUGAGACACGGUCCAAACUCCUACGGGAGGCGGCAGUGGGGAAUAUUGCACAAUGGGCGAAAGCCUGAUGCAGCAACGCCGCGUGAGCGAUGAAGGCCUUCGGGUCGUAAAGCUCUGUCCUCAAGGAAGAUAAUGACGGUACUUGAGGAGGAAGCCCCGGCAAACUACAUGCCAGCCGCCGCAGUAACAC